GACGAACGCUGGCGGCGUGCUUAACACAUGCAAGUCGAACGGAAAGGCCCUGCUUUUGUGGGGUGCUCGAGUGGCGAACGGGUGAGUAACACGUGAGUAACCUGCCCUUGACUUUGGGAUAACUUCAGGAAACUGGGGCUAAUACCGGAUAGGACCUCCUGCUGCAUGGUGGGGGUUGGAAAGUUUCGGCGGUUGGGGAUGGACUCGCGGCUUAUCAGCUUGUUGGUGGGGUAGUGGCUUACCAAGGCUUUGACGGGUAGCCGGCCUGAGAGGGUGACCGGCCACAUUGGGACUGAGAUACGGCCCAGACUCCUACGGGAGGCAGCAGUGGGGAAUAUUGCACAAUGGGCGGAAGCCUGAUGCAGCAACGCCGCGUGCGGGAUGACGGCCUUCGGGUUGUAAACCGCUUUCGCCUGUGACGAAGCGUGAGUGACGGUAAUGGGUAAAGAAGCACCGGCUAACUACGUGCCAGCAGCCGCGGUGAUACGUAGGGUGCGAGCGUUGUCCGGAUUUAUUGGGCGUAAAGGGCUCGUAGGUGGUUGAUCGCGUCGGAAGUGUAAUCUUGGGGCUUAACCCUGAGCGUGCUUUCGAUACGGGUUGACUUGAGGAAGGUAGGGGAGAAUGGAAUUCCUGGUGGAGCGGUGGAAUGCGCAGAUAUCAGGAGGAACACCAGUGGCGAAGGCGGUUCUCUGGGCCUUUCCUGACGCUGAGGAGCGAAAGCGUGGGGAGCGAACAGGCUUAGAUACCCUGGUAGUCCACGCUGUAAACGGUGGGUACUAGGUGUGGGGUCCAUUCCACGGGUUCCGUGCCGUAGCUAACGCUUUAAGUACCCCGCCUGGGGAGUACGGCCGCAAGGCUAAAACUCAAAGGAAUUGACGGGGCCCCGCACAAGCGGCGGAGCAUGCGGAUUAAUUCGAUGCAACGCGUAGAACCUUACCUGGGUUUGACAUGGAUCGGGAGCGCUCAGAGAUGGGUGUGCCUCUUUUGGGGUCGGUUCACAGGUGGUGCAUGGCUGUCGUCAGCUCGUGUCGUGAGAUGUUGGGUUAAGUCCCGCAACGAGCGCAACCCUUGUUCACUGUUGCCAGCACGUUAUGGUGGGGACUCAGUGGAGACCGCCGGGGUCAACUCGGAGGAAGGUGGGGAUGACGUCAAGUCAUCAUGCCCCUUAUGUCCAGGGCUUCACGCAUGCUACAAUGGCUGGUACAGAGAGUGGCGAGCCUGUGAGGGUGAGCGAAUCUCGGAAAGCCGGUCUCAGUUCGGAUUGGGGUCUGCAACUCGACCUCAUGAAGUCGGAGUCGCUAGUAAUCGCAGAUCAGCAACGCUGCGGUGAAUACGUUCCCGGG
rnacentral:rRNA from 1 species